UCUGAUCAGGGACUGAUUUCUCCCUUCGCAAAGAUUAAACACGGGAGGGAAAAUCACUAAGCGGCACCGGUCUGGGCAAGCCGGGCUCAGAGGAAGGAGGGACCGGAGGGAGAGGAGCGAGGGGCGGCUAGGCUGGGAUCGUUCCUUGCUCGGGCACUAGCACGCGGUACCGGCUCGGCUCCGAUUGCAGCCCUGCAGGAGAGAACGGCUAUACGGAAAAGCAAAGGCAUCGCAUUUCAGGCAAGUCGCAGCCGGAUCCAGAGACAGGAGCUGUCUUUAACGAGGCGGGAGUCUCAACUCUUCCCCCUCACGGUUCCCAAAGGCUUUCCUGUCUCACGUGAAAAAUGCCCUGAUUGAAUUCUGGAACAGCUUGAGUAAACAAACAAACAUACAUCUAUUUAAAGAGGACAGGCGUCCUCGGUCCGUGCUGAAGAUGCAAACUGCUGUCCCAUUUUAAGCAUCAAAGUGUCCUUAACGUGUAUUUUACACACUUCACAGUAACAUUUCUACCAACAUUAUAAAGUAUGGAGUAUAUGGUAUUACUGGGGAAAUAUGGGGAAAUUACCUCUUGUUAGCCUACUGCAAUGUGCUUUAUUUAAUUGUGAACGUUGCUUUCAUAAAAAAUACCAUCAGUUUUUAAAUCAUUUAUUGCAAUACCUUCAAAUGAAGAGGUACUUCUGAACUAAGUUCACAUUUCAAAACAGUAUGUCUAACGUUACAUAUGACUGUCAUGCGUGUAAAAUCAAUUUACUCUUGUUCUCGUCAGCUGUGUUGUGCAAUCCAGUUAGGUACAGGACUGCGUUUCAUCUGACUUAGAUGCAAAGGACACGAUCCCCAAAAGAGUAUCGCUUCAGUGAUGCGCUCAGAAUAAAACCGUCUGUCUAAGGAAGAACAAUCACAGCACUCGCUUUCUCAGAAUGAGUGAAUCAAUUCGGCUGCGCAGCGGGGGACGGCACACCGUGUCACAUCCGAGAAGGUGAUACCCCGACCUCGCAGAUAACAGCACCGGCAACGUGCAACCCGGAGUGCUCCACAAUGUCCAAGUGACAGUGAAUCACACGGGCGCUCCUCACCCGUCAGACAAAACAGCGUCCCGUCUGUGAUUUGUGAGUGCUGGCCCACGUACAUCAGGAGUAAUUAAAGAAGCUUUGGGUCCAGGGAGAAGAUGGGCCGGGGACCGCUCUGGGUUUGAGGAGGAGAAACCAUGAUGACCAAGCCCAACCCCACCCACACGUUACCUGUCUGGACUCAAGGUGAGCCGUGCAAAACGACGGCGUGACUUUGCCGAGUCCUCCUGACAGUUACCGAAUGGCGCCGCCCUCAAUGCCCCUCCCCCGAUCGGGUUUCAGGCGCCGUGCGAGCGUUACAUAAUGUCGGCGUCUCUCGUCUGGUGCUUUGAGCGUGCUCGGGGGAGAUUGACGCAAGGGGCGGGACGAGAAGAGUCAAGGGUACGGCGGCGACAGUGGCGAGCCGGGGACGAUGAGAAGGGCUUGGUAAGUAUGAAAAACACCGCUCACAAAAACGGCUCUAUACAGCCUUUUGCCUGUGAUUAACUCCCUUGUGAUUAACGUUCAUGCGUCUGUUCCAAAUUUUCAGAAGGUUCCACAAAGAGCAAUAGGGAACCGAUGUGCCCUGUAGAGGAAACUUCGGGUCUGUCGCAUUCAGUGUGUACUGUAUGUCCUACUGACUCCCAGAGUGUUUUGGAGAAACUCGUGAAAUUAGAGCACUGAGGCCAAACUCAUUUGAAAAGGGUCUCUUUUUUGACUGCCCAGAGAAGUAUUUCACGUGGCAAAAAUAUAGCAACAA